rnacentral:rRNA from 1 species
CCUACGGGGCGCAGCAGUGGGGAAUAUUGGGCAAUGGGCGCAAGCCUGACCCAGCAACGCCGCGUGAGUGAAGAAGUAUUUCGGUACGUAAAGCUCUAUCAGCAGGGAAGAAAAAUGACGGUACCUGACUAAGAAGCCCCGGCUAACUACGUGCCAGCAGCCGCGGUAAUACGUAGGGGGCAAGCGUUAUCCGGAAUUACUGGGUGUAAAGGGAGCGUAGACGGCUGUGCAAGUCUGGAGUGAAAGGCGGGGGCCCAACCCCCGGACUGCUCUAGAAACUGUAUGGCUGGAGUGCAGGAGAGGUA